rnacentral:rRNA from 1 species
UACGGGGGGGGCAAGCGUUGUUCGGAAUUACUGGGCGUAAAGGGCGCGUAGGCGGCCCGCUAAGUCGAACGUGAAAUCCCCAGGCUCAACCUGGGAACUGCGUCCGAUACUGGCGGGCUUGAAUCCGGGAGAGGGAUGUGGAAUUCCAGGUGUAGCGGUGAAAUGCGUAGAUAUCUGGAGGAACACCGGUGGCGAAGGCGGCAUCCUGGACCGGUAUUGACGCUGAGGCGCGAAAGCUAGGGGAGCAAACGGG